rnacentral:lncRNA from 1 species
CCGCCACCAAAUACACCGACGGCUCCCUCGAGAACGGCGCCGUCGACUCCGCCUACGUUCCGGUCCCCACCGAAGCCGACGUCGCCGUCGAGGGAGAGGCCGAGAAGACCCCUUACGUCGCGUCCGCCACGAAGCUCACCGACGGCACCUUCGACGGCGCCGUGGACUCCGUCUAUCCCAAGGUUCCCACGGAAGCCGACGUCCCCGACGAAAACGCCAAGGGCCCUUACGUCGCGGCGUCCACCAAGUUCAGCGACGGCACCUUCGACGGACCCGAUCAGUUUGACCCCACCGGCGUCUACCCCACCGGCGGCUACGAAAAGUCUCCGGAGGAGAUCGAGACCGAGGCAGCACGCGUCGAGGCGCGCGCGUCCGAGGCUGGCGCCUACAAGAAGGCGUACGCCGCCGCG